rnacentral:rRNA from 1 species
GUGUCAGCCGCCGCGGUAAUACAGAGGUCCCGAGCGUUGUUCGGAUUUACUGGGCGUAAAGGGUGCGUAGGUGGUCGGGUAAGUCUCAUGUGAAAUCCCGCAGCUUAACUGCGGAACGGCAUGGGAUACUAUUCGGCUCGAGGAUUGGAGGGGGGACUGGAAUUCCCGGUGUAGCAGUGAAAUGCGUAGAUAUCGGGAGGAACACCAGUGGCGAAGGCGAGUCCCUGGACAAUUCCUGACGCUGAGGCACGAAAGCCAGGGGAGCAAACAGGAUUAGAUACCCCUGUAGUCC